rnacentral:rRNA from 1 species
UACGGGGGGGGCAAGCGUUGUUCGGAAUUACUGGGCGUAAAGGGCUCGUAGGUGGCCAACUAAGUCAGACGUGAAAUCCCUCGGCUUAACCGGGGAACUGCGUCUGAUACUGGAUGGCUUGAGUUUGGGAGAGGGACGCGGAAUUCCAGGUGUAGCGGUGAAAUGCGCAGAUAUCGGGAAGAACACCCGUGGCGAAGGCGGUUCUCUGGGACGGUACUGACGCUGAGACGCGAAAGCGUGGGGAGCGAACAGG